rnacentral:misc_RNA from 1 species
GUGGUCGGCUCCCUGCUUGAGCAGGCACGGCCUCGCGUACAUUCCUCUUCAGUUGUGCGACAAGGCUUGUAUCGCCUUGAUCGUAAAUGUGGGUUUCCUGUGUUGCAUACCUGAUCAAAGGAAUUCUAGAUCAAAAAAGUCCCUUUUUCGUCAAGCAUCGCCCUUGUGAUGUCGGACGAACGAAGUAGCACCCUCUUUGAUCCAUCCUGUUGAUGAGCAUACGUUGAUGGUUUGGCCCAUUGAGGGUUGCUUGGUCCCUCGAAUAUGGAAGCCAAAGAUGGCAUGGGGUCGUACGAUCCUUUUAUUGCCCUCGUUGAGCGUUCUUGCUUCUCUAAAACGACUGCCUUUCACGUAUGGCACGUCCCAGCGUGUUUGGCUACGUCGAAGAGGAAUGCUACCUGGUUGAUCCUGCCAGUAGUCAUAUGCUUGUCUCAAAGAUUAAGCCAUG